GAGACACCUUAUGGGACAGGACUUGCUUCAGUGGGGCUUUGGUGUUCACUGAGUCUGCCCCUUGAGUGCGUCACU
rnacentral:pre_miRNA from 1 species